UACGAAGGGGGCUAGCGUUGCUCGGAAUCACUGGGCGUAAAGGGUGCGUAGGCGGGUCUUUAAGUCAGGGGUGAAAUCCUGGAGCUCAACUCCAGAACUGCCUUUGAUACUGAGGAUCUUGAGUUUGGGAGAGGUGAGUGGAACUCCGAGUGUAGAGGUGAAAUUCGUAGAUAUUCGGAAGAACACCAGUGGCGAAGGCGACUCACUGGCCCAAUACUGACGCUGAGGCUCGAAAGCGUGGGGAGCAAACAGG
rnacentral:rRNA from 1 species